rnacentral:rRNA from 1 species
UACGGGGGGAGCAAGCGUUGUUCGGAUUUAUUGGGCGUAAAGAGCGUGUAGGCGGCUUGACAGGUCUGCUGUGAAAACUCGAGGCUCAACCUCGAGAUGUCGGCGGAAACCGUCUGGCUAGAGUCCGGAAGAGGAGAGUGGAAUUCCUGGUGUAGCGGUGAAAUGCGCAGAUAUCGAGAGGAACACCAGUGGCGAAGGCGAGUCCCUGGACACUUCCUGACACUGAGGCACGAAAGCUAGGGGAGCAAACAGG